ensembl:rRNA nuclear encoded rRNA 5S 42
GUCUAUGGCCAUACCGCCCUGAACCUCCUGAUCUUGUUUGAUCUCAGAAGCUAAGCGGGGUCAGGCCUGGUUAUUACUUAGAAGAUGCACUGGGAAUCGUGGCAC